rnacentral:tRNA from 1 species
AGGGGCGUAGCUCAACUGGCAGAGCACCCGUCUCCAAAACGGGUGGUUGGGGGUUCGAUUCCUCUCGCCCCUG